UGAGAAACGGCUACCACAUCCAAGGAAGGCAACAGGCGCGCAAAUUACCCAAUCUAGACAGUAGGAGGUGGUGAAGAGAAUUACUAAAUGGUGGUCCAAUGGAUCACUUGUUUGGAAUGAACGUAACUUAAGAAAUUCGUUGAUAAACAACUGGAGGGCAAGUCCUGGUGCCAGCAGCCGCGGUAAUUCCAGCUCCAGUAGUUUGCUUUAAAGUUGUUGCGUUUAAAACGCUCGUAGUUGGAUCACGCAGCAGUGUUCAGUUAUCUUUUGUCGCUGGUCUUCAUUUAGGUUCGUCUCAGACGGUUUAAUUGUUGUCAGUGGCAUUAGAUGCUACGCUGAAUGCUGUUAGUUGCACGUGAGAUAGAUUGUUGGCCUUAAAUGAGCCGGUAUUCUUGUCUUGCGGGGUGUGCCUUGAAUAAAACAGAGUGCUUAAAGCAGGUUAUUGCCUGAAUGUUAUAGCAUGGAACGAACAAUCGUGUAUAUGUGUGUGUCAUCGUAAAGCUGUGAGCUUUUGGUUCGUAGCUUUGCGUGAUGCGCACGGCACCCACCAAAAUAUGGCUGUUGGUUCCAUAUACGGUGAUGAUUAAUAGGAGCGGUUGGGGGCAUCGGUAUUUGGCCGCGAGAGGUGAAAUUCUUAGACCGGCCAAGGACUAACAAAUGCAAAGGCACUUGUCUAGACCGUUUCCAUUAAUCAAGAACGAAAGUGGGAGGUUCGAAGACGAUCAGAUACCGUCAUAGUUCCCACCGUAAACUAUGCCGACCUGGGAUCAGUUUGGAGAUGAUACAAGCUCCAAAUUGGUCCCCCUGGGAAACCUAAAGUUUUUCGGUUACGGGGAGAGUAUGGUCGCAAGGCUGAAACUUAAAGGAAUUGACGGAAGGGCACCACCAGGGGUGGAGCCUGCGGCUUAAUUUGACUCAACACGGGGAAACUUACCUGGUCCGGACAUCGAAAGGAUUAACAGAUCAAUAGCUCUUUUAUGAUCCGAUGAGUGGUGGUGCAUGGCCGUUCUUAGUUCGUGGAGUGAUCUGUCAGCUUAAUUGCGGUAACGAACGAGACCACAGUCUCCAUUUAAAAAAUGGAAGAAGGGGCCUAGUUGGUGGCUCCGGUCACCGGCUGAGUUCUGCAGGAAGGACCGUGCUCUUUUCGGUUGGUUCGGAGGGGAAACCCAAUGUAUUGAUCGUUGGGAGCGUGGUUUCUCCCUUCCAUUACGCAGCAGUCGGCCUCGGCUGGCUGUUGCCUUAUGGAGAGACAACGAGGUAUAA
rnacentral:rRNA from 1 species